UUAGCACCGGUUCUUGAAAAUCGGUGCCAAAAUAAAUGGGCGGGAUUGAAAAAAUCAGUUUUGGCACCUGUUCCAACCAAAAUCGGUGCCAAUCAUUUAAUUAGCACCGGUUCAAACCGGUGCCAACUUAUUAAAAAAAAACCGGGCUCCAGCUUUUCUUUCUUUCCCCCCCCCUUUUUUCCAUCUUCUGUUUUCCCUAGCUCUUGUUUUUGCCUUCUCUUACUUCCACCAUCCCGAAUUUUCACCUUCUCCAUUGAAGUGGUUUACGAGCUUUCUCACUCCAUUGAAGCAGCACCUCCUUCUCUCUCCAUAUCUCUGGCCUCCAUUGAACUCGUGCUCUAUAUUCUCCAUUGAAGCCGAUUCUGAGCUUCCUCACCUCCAUUGAAGCAGCUUCGAGGGUUCUGGUUUUAUUUCUAUUUUUUGUCGAACAAAAUAAGUAGGAGAAGGAGAUAGUAGGUCCUACUUACCACCACUCACCCUUCGUCGGCCACCCUCCGUUCCCCUCAGUCGUCCUUCGUGCAUCGGCCACCGACCACCAGGUCCCUUUCAACAACCUAAGAAGAAAAGACAAGGUCCUUUUCGUGAUCCAAGUAGAGCACUCAAGUAUAAAAAGUUGUGAAGCAUUCAACCCGAAAAGCUCAAGGUUAAUAUUCCUCCAACAUUAGGAGUUGUUGUGGGUGAGCGUGCAAAUCAACUUGUUGUUGAGUGUGCUGAUUGGGUGAAGGAGAUUUGCCCCCUUAAUGUUCCUAAAUGGAGUGAUAUGCCUGAAGGGAUUUUAGAUCGAUUAUAUGCAAGGAUUAAGGUGCCGAUAAAUAUUCAUACUGAGGAGUGUUACUCUAUGUUUGGUCUUUGCUACUCAUUGGUGGAUUGGUCUUUGCUACUCAUUGGUGGAUGAUUUUUGGUUAUUGCAAUAACCCAGUAGAUGUAUUAUUAAUAUUACAAAGGUGUGUCAAUAUCUGAAGUCAUGGUCCCAACGGCAUAUGUUGCUAAAAAUGAGCGUGAAUACUGGUAAGCUGUUUGCAUUAUGACUAUUUCAGUCCAAGAAGGAUUUAACCCGGGUAUUGUGGCGAUGCUAAGGUUGGGUAUGGUGAUGAGUUUGAUGAUGAUGAGAUAAUGCAUUGACAUUAAAAAGUACCGCAAAUGAAGGUUGAACUAGAUAUUGGAUAGGGGUCGCGCAAACGCACGCCCCCUCUAUCACAAAUUAUGAUGUACACUCUUCCUCUUGGGAAGUUGUUAAGCAGGCACCCCCUCCUCCUAAUGUGCAAUGGAGACCACCCGCCUAGGCCAUGAGUCUUCUAGGUCACCCAUUGACCCCGUCCAAGUUAAAAAGCAUAGCAACUUCUAAGAAAGUCGUUGCUUUUAUGUCGUUUUAAUGGAUGGGCAUAAUGUGGACUUCUCAUACAUCAAGUGCUUGGAGACUUAUGGUAAGGGAAAGUACCAAUCAAUUGCUGAGUCCUUCAUAUCCAAGUAUUUUAGAAGGCCUCGUUCGGGAGCUGUCCAAGAGCUCUAGUUGCUAUCAAAUCCUCUUUCAUGGGAAAUGUGUUUUCUGGCCUCUUGUAUAUUGAUUCUGAUGAUGACAGGUGCAAUUGCUGAUGUU